GGGGGCGCAAAUUCAAUUCGACAAACAUUCCACCAAAAUGAUAUUAUUCACGCGCUCAGCGCAUGUUUCCCCUAUGAAGGCGACGAAUCGGCGCACUGCAUUCACACUGCAGGGGUCGCAAGUUCGAAACUUGCACUUCCCACCA
rnacentral:tRNA from 1 species